rnacentral:rRNA from 1 species
UACGGAGGGUGCGAGCGUUGUCCGGAAUCAUUGGGCGUAAAGCGCGCGUAGGCGGCCUCGUAAGUCCGUUGUGAAAGUCAAAGGCUCAACCUUUGAAAGCCGAUGGAUACUGUGAGGCUAGAGUCCGGAAGAGGCGAGUGGAAUUCCUGGUGUAGCGGUGGAAUGCGCAGAUAUCAGGAGGAACACCAAUAGCGAAGGCAGCUCGCUGGGACGGUACUGACGCUAAGGCGCGAAAGCGUGGGGAGCGAACAGG